rnacentral:rRNA from 1 species
AUGAACGCUAGCUACAGGCUUAACACAUGCAAGUCGAGGGGCAGCAUGGUCUUAGCUUGCUAAGGCCGAUGGCGACCGGCGCACGGGUGAGUAACACGUAUCCAACCUGCCGUCUACUCUUGGACAGCCUUCUGAAAGGAAGAUUAAUACAAGAUGGCAUCAUGAGUCCGCAUGUUCACAUGAUUAAAGGUAUUCCGGUAGACGAUGGGGAUGCGUUCCAUUAGAUAGUAGGCGGGGUAACGGCCCACCUAGUCUUCGAUGGAUAGGGGUUCUGAGAGGAAGGUCCCCCACAUUGGAACUGAGACACGGUCCAAACUCCUACGGGAGGCAGCAGUGAGGAAUAUUGGUCAAUGGGCGAGAGCCUGAACCAGCCAAGUAGCGUGAAGGAUGACUGCCCUAUGGGUUGUAAACUUCUUUUAUAAAGGAAUAAAGUCGGGUAUGGAUACCCGUUUGCAUGUACUUUAUGAAUAAGGAUCGGCUAACUCCGUGCCAGCAGCCGCGGUAAUACGGAGGAUCCGAGCGUUAUCCGGAUUUAUUGGGUUUAAAGGGAGCGUAGAUGGAUGUUUAAGUCAGUUGUGAAAGUUUGCGGCUCAACCGUAAAAUUGCAGUUGAUACUGGAUAUCUUGAGUGCAGUUGAGGCAGGCGGAAUUCGUGGUGUAGCGGUGAAAUGCUUAGAUAUCACGAAGAACUCCGAUUGCGAAGGCAGCCUGCUAAGCUGCAACUGACAUUGAGGCUCGAAAGUGUGGGUAUCAAACAGGAUUAGAUACCCUGGUAGUCCACACGGUAAACGAUGAAUACUCGCUGUUUGCGAUAUACUGCAAGCGGCCAAGCGAAAGCGUUAAGUAUUCCACCUGGGGAGUACGCCGGCAACGGUGAAACUCAAAGGAAUUGACGGGGGCCCGCACAAGCGGAGGAACAUGUGGUUUAAUUCGAUGAUACGCGAGGAACCUUACCCGGGCUUAAAUUGCAGAUGAAUUACGGUGAAAGCCGUAAGCCGCAAGGCAUCUGUGAAGGUGCUGCAUGGUUGUCGUCAGCUCGUGCCGUGAGGUGUCGGCUUAAGUGCCAUAACGAGCGCAACCCUUGUUGUCAGUUACUAACAGGUUCCGCUGAGGACUCUGACAAGACUGCCAUCGUAAGAUGUGAGGAAGGUGGGGAUGACGUCAAAUCAGCACGGCCCUUACGUCCGGGGCUACACACGUGUUACAAUGGGGGGUACAGAGGGCCGCUACCACGCGAGUGGAUGCCAAUCCCCAAAACCUCUCUCAGUUCGGACUGGAGUCUGCAACCCGACUCCACGAAGCUGGAUUCGCUAGUAAUCGCGCAUCAGCCACGGCGCGGUGAAUACGUUCCCGGGCCUUGUACACACCGCCCGUCAAGCCAUGAAAGCCGGGGGUACCUGAAGUACGUAACCGCAAGGAGCGUCCUAGGGUAAAACUGGUAAUUGGGGCU